rnacentral:snoRNA from 2 species
AAGACUAUACUUUCAGGGAUCAUUUCUAUAGUUUAUUUAUUCAUGAGACACACACACACACACACACACACACACACAGAGGCAGAGACACAGGCAGAGGGAGAAGCAGGCUCCAUGCAGGGAGCCCGACGUGGGACUCGAUCCCGGGUCUCCAGGAUCAGGCCCUGGGCUGA